CGGAAGGCCCUUCGGGGUACUCGAGCGGCGAACGGGUGAGUAACACGUGAGUAAUCUGCCCCUGGCUUUGGGAUAGCCACCGGAAACGGUGAUUAAUACCGGAUACGACCACUUCUCGCAUGGGAUGGUGGUGGAAAGUUUUUCGGCCAGGGAUGUGCUCGCGGCCUAUCAGCUUGAUGGUGAGGUAAUGGCUCACCAUGGCUUCGACGGGUAGCCGGCCUGAGAGGGUGACCGGUCACACUGGGACUGAGACACGGCCCAGACUCCUACGGGAGGCAGCAGUGGGGAAUAUUGGACAAUGGGCGGAAGCCUGAUCCAGCAACGCCGCGUGAGGGAUGACGGCCUUCGGGUUGUAAACCUCUUUCAGCAGGGACGAAGCGCAAGUGACGGUACCUGCAGAAGAAGCACCGGCCAACUACGUGCCAGCAGCCGCGGUAAUACGUAGGGUGCGAGCGUUGUCCGGAAUUAUUGGGCGUAAAGGGCUCGUAGGCGGUCUGUCGCGUCGGGAGUGAAAACCAGGUGCUUAACACCUGGCUUGCUUUCGAUACGGGCAGACUAGAGGUAUUCAGGGGAGAACGGAAUUCCUGGUGUAGCGGUGAAAUGCGCAGAUAUCAGGAGGAACACCGGUGGCGAAGGCGGUUCUCUGGGAAUAUCCUGACGCUGAGGAGCGAAAGUGUGGGGAGCGAACAGGAUUAGAUACCCUGGUAGUCCACACCGUAAACGUUGGGCGCUAGGUGUGGGGUCCAUUCCACGGAUUCCGUGCCGCAGCUAACGCAUUAAGCGCCCCGCCUGGGGAGUAC
rnacentral:rRNA from 1 species